rnacentral:lncRNA from 1 species
GUCUCAUCUUGCUGUCACAACAGAAAACAAGUCUUCACCAUCUACUGUGUGAGUUCCAUCAGGUAUAUAAUGUCCCAUUCGACAUUUAAUACUGUUAUUUCUUAAAAUAUAAAAUAUGAAAAUAUUUGCAGCAAGGGAAAAGGACCUGAGCAUUUCAGAUGUACUUGUGCAAUAAAAAUCUGUUUAGGAACAUGUGUACUUAUUAAAUAUUGAGUUAAAUGUUGAUAUAAAAUCUCCCUGCCUUUUCUCCAUCCUUCCUACUCUGCUGCAUUUCCUCAAACAAUUUCGACAUAUUAUUCAUGUUUUGGAAAUUGUAUUCUAAUCUUUCAAUUGUCAUUGUUCAAGGUUGUUUAUUAGUUAGUCAUCAAUACCAAACCUUCCAAUUUCAUUCACUACAUUAGCUACAGUGAAAUGCAAACCCGUUUCUGACAUGUGUAGUAGGAAGUAGGAAGCUGACAUAAAUUGUGCCUGUUUGAUGAAACAGAGCUGGGAAAGGUUUCUUGGGCUAUAGUGCCUAGGAGACUGUGAAAACUAUAGUCCAAAAACAGUGUCUAAACUCUGAUCUGGAGGCCUUGGGAAAUUGUUCGAUUCGUGUCUGUGUGUUCUAAAAAUGACAAUUUUCCAAAAGGCUUCCAAACCUCUAUGGACUAAUACAGUGAACUUCCACAGAUCUAGAGUACAUUGGCUUGAAAUUGUUAGGUUGAUUGAUAAAAAUUCACCAUGAACUGAUCUGAUGUACAAAUCAUCCUGCCUCAGUGCUCACUAAAUAUUUUUAAUGUAAAUGUCUCUUUUCUUAGAUUUAUGCAAUCAUUUAUAUCUUUAUUCUUGAAGUAGAUGGUGGAUCUAGUGAAAGACCAAAUAAUUAUCCUGCUUUCUCAUUUAAUAAUGCCUACGUUGACCUGAAAAGAGACCUAGGUUUUCUGUGAUGGACUCUUCUAGAUGGCUAACCCUGAGGAGAAACUUGGCUCAUAUCUUCCCAGGCUUCUUUUUACAUCCCACAGCCAUCUCCUUCUCUAGUCUGAGUUUUUCUGUCUCUGCAAAGGGCUCAACGCUAGCCUCUCCCACGUGGAAUGCCCCCACAAGAUGCAAGCUGAGGAUGUGACCUAUUUGAAGGAGAGAAGGAGAAACCAAGCUUGCAUUAAAUUCUAAGCUUUGGUCAUGCUUAAAAUUAGGGUGUGACUUUCACUUUCUGUUCUUCAUAGCAAAGUUUACCCAAAAACAUCUGUUAUGAAAGACAAAAUUUAAAGUUGCAAUAAAAGCAUUUAUUUGUUUCCA